CCUACGGGAGGCAGCAGUGGGGAAUAUUGGGCAAUGGGCGCAAGCCUGACCCAGCAACGCCGCGUGACUGAAGAAGGCCCUCGGGUUGUAAACUUCUUUUAACAGGGACGAAGCAAGUGACGGUCCCUGUUGAAUAAGCCACGGCUAACUACGUGCCAGCAGCCGCGGUAAUACGUAGGUGGCAAGCGUUAUCCGGAUGUACUGGGUGUAACGGCCUGUUAGGCGGGAGAGCAAGUCCGACGUGAAAGUCCAGGGCUCAACCCUGGAACUGCGUUUGAAACUGUUCUUCUUGAGUGAUGGAGAGGAAGGCGGAAUUCCGGGUGUAGCGGUGAAAUGCGUAGAUAUAAGGAGGAACACCAGUGGCGAAGGCGGCCUGCUGGACAUUAACUGACGCUGAGGCGCGAAAGCGUGGGGAGCAAACAGGAUUAGAUACCCGGGUAGUC
rnacentral:rRNA from 1 species